rnacentral:rRNA from 1 species
AACGAACGCUGGCGGCGCGCCUAAUACAUGCAAGUCGAGCGAGAAGACGUAGCAAUACGUUUGUAAAGCGGCGAACGGGUGAGGAAUACAUGGGUAACCUACCCUCGAGUGGGGAAUAACUAGCCGAAAGGUUAGCUAAUACCGCGUACGCUCCUUGGACUUCGGUUCAGGGAGGAAAGCGAUACCGUGGGUAUCGCGCUCUUGGAUGGGCUCAUGUCCUAUCAGCUUGUUGGGAGGUAACGGCUCACCAAGGCUUCGACGGGUAGCUGGUCUGAGAGGACGAUCAGCCACACUGGCACUGCGACACGGGCCAGACUCCUACGGGAGGCAGCAGUAAGGAAUAUUGCGCAAUGGGCGAAAGCCUGACGCAGCGACGCCGCGUGGGGGAGUGAAGGUCUUCGGA